rfam:Dufourea novaeangliae contig2676, whole genome shotgun sequence.
AUAACGGCCCUUUUUAGGGCCAACAAAUUUAUAAUGAAGGAUAACU